UUAAACGAAGAUAAUCCAAGCAAAAUUUCAGGUGAAGAAGAAGCGUUGGAUCGGAUCAUUAAUAGGUCGGCGGGUUCGGGUUACUUUUUGAUAAUUUUGGUUUAGUUUUGGUUAAAGUUUGUUUUCAAAUGGUUAAGACUGAAUUGGUGUACAUUAAACCGACAAAAACCAGAUAUAUGUGCUAAUAGAUCUCGAAGUAUUAAUUUGGGGAGAUUUAGCUAUAGAACUUACGUUUCGGAGAGAAAUAGGUUUAAAACUUUGUUUUCAUGGACAUGUAGACCGGGGUUGAAGUUUGGGCUCUAUCUGGCAUGAUGCGGUAUUUCUUGUGGGGAAAUAGACCGUUUUUCCGGUUUUAAUAGAUAUGAUUCAUUUCCGGUGGGGUACGGAUUUGUCUAAACAAGAUUUGUAGACCGAAGAAAAAUAUAUAGCAUUUGGAUCUUUGUAAAAAUUAAGAAUGUAAAUGAACAAAUAAAUAGAAAAUGUAUGUAUUUUUCUAGAGUUCUUGUAUUUCUUGACUAUCAUUU
rnacentral:sRNA from 1 species